GGACAAACGGCGUGCCAUCAUCUAAGUUUUUGGAUUAUCGACUUUGAAUCAACGAUGAAAGAGGAGAAAAAAACUCGUAAUCAUGAACGACCAAAUAUGCCACGUAUCCAGCGCCUAAGCAUAUGGAGUCAAGAAAAGAAGAAGCUAGACAUGGGGAAUUCUCUCGCGUCAUCAUUUAUAUAUGAAGGUUCAAAGGCUGCACAUACAGGGAUUUACCUGAGCAGAAUCACCAACUGCAUAAUCUCGUAAAAGAAUGUGACCAUUUGGCUGCAAAAUGAGAUCGCAAUAGCAUAGCACACCCAUUAAAUUAUCAAAUAAUAGAGAAAGAAAAAAGAAAAUGAGGUAAGACAUCUCCAUAGCUCAUGUAUUACCUUUAGUACUUGCUUACAGUUCUCCAGAAUUGAAGCCAUCUUGCAUGGUGAAACUGCAGACAAUGUAAAUAUCUACUUAAAGGAGUUAGAUGCUCAUGUAGGCAUACAUUUUUCCCGAAGGAAGGAUAUACGGUUUAUUAAAUUGCUUUUAGGCGAACACUAUGCUUUAAUCACUUAAUACAUAUUCAGAUAUGAUUAUCAUUA